GACGAACGUUGGCGGCGUGCUUAACACAUGCAAGUCGAACGGAGUGGCGAACGGGUGAGUAUUACGUUAGUAACCUGCCCUCAAUUGUGGGAUAAGCCUGGGAAUCUGGGUCUAAUACUGCAUAGUUGGGGAUGGGCUCGCGGCAUAUCAGCUUGUUGGUGGGGUGAUGGGCUAUCAAGGCGGUGACGGGUAGCCGGCCGGAGAGGGUGGUCGGUCAGAUUGGGACUGAGAUACGGCCCAGGCACCUACGGGUGGCAGAGAUGGGUGAUAUUGCACAAUGGGCGCAAGCCUGAUGCAGGGAGGCCGCGUGGGUGACGGAGGCUUUCGGGUUGUAAACCUCUUUCGGUACAGAGCGGGUAUGUGCAGAAGAAGCGCCGGCUAACUACGUGCCAGCCGCCGCGGUAAUAC
rnacentral:rRNA from 1 species